AGAAGGGGCUGGAUUGCCUCACCUAUCCUAAGAUUCUAGUUAGCACUGAGAUGUCACACAAGCCUCUGUUCUGGGCCUGACACUGAAUGUGUGCCACAGCCCUGGUUUCUAAGCAAACACAGUUACAAGGGAUUCUUAAACACGAACCACUACUCUAGAAACCCGAUCAGCAGCUAACCCAAAUAAAGUAUUUAUAACUUGCAAAAUGGCCCAUGAAGGUGAUCUAGAAGAGAUUUACAGCCAAAAAGGAAUACAUUCUUUAGUGGGGGGCAACUGGAGUAAUUAAUGCCCUCUCUUAGAGAGCCAGACCUGGAGACGUGCAGAGGGGAUGUGUGAAUUUGGGACCACAAGUAGAAUCAAGAAGUAUUUAAUCAUAGGAGACAGAUCCUGAGCAAGUCCUAGAAUUAGAAGGUGUCUGGACCCUUCAAAGCAAUAUCUCGGAGGGUGAAAAUGCGCUCGGUGAAGCGUAGCUCCCUGGAGCAAGUUAGUGAAUAUUAAUGUUCAGCAGAUCAUAAGGAGCUACAAGUUCUCCAAUGUAAGAAGCCGAGGGGGAGAUAAAAGAGCAAGGUUGGUGGAUGGGCCCUGCCAGGGGAAGGUACAAUCACAUUGGACAUAACCUCAUUGAGAUGGAAAUGGAGUUUGAAGUACAUGCAAUCGGGGCUGCCAGGAACUAGGAAGCAAAUGUGGGCUGGGGAGGAAGCAGGCUAGACUCUGGCCCAUGCUUCCAAACUCCACUUGCUGCAGACCUAGGCUGGCCUCAGACCUGCCUGGGGCCCCAUCGGCAGAGAGAUUUACAGGACGUACCUCAUAAUUAAUACCAGCGAAUUGCCAGUUAAUCAUGGGCCCUGAUUUGGGGUAAGUGAAGGCUGCUUAUCACAAGAAGCAUUCAGGCUUAAUAUUAAGUAUUACAGUAUUUCAAAUCUGCCAAAGCACACUGUCCCUUUCCAAUUAUCAUUGUUUAUCUGCAGGUUUCAGGAAAUCACGUGUCUUGUAUGGGACACAUAAAUAUGCAGCAUCCAGUAAAUAUACACAUAUUUCAGAGAGAAGACAGCUCUUCUCAACCAGGCUGGAGAUCAAAUUGAACACUCUGCAUAUCUGGUGAAUCAGAAGCCUGCAGACCCAGACUCCACGGGAGGUUGUCAUCCAGUGGCUGUGCUUGGCUGAUGAAGUAGAUGCUGGAGUCCAGAGAGGGUGAGAGUCUGGCUCAAAGUCAACACAGCUAAUGUCCAAGCCAAGAUUAUAACCCCCAUAAAAUGUCUUCCCUACUACUCUAAAUCUGCCUUGGGCCAACCAAUCAGAUACUAACCAAGUGCCCACCAUGCCUUUGGCCUCUGCUUGGUUGCACGGUAGACAUAAAAGACAAUCAUCGACAAACAUGAGUGCCAAUGUGAAGCGAGAGUAGAGAAACAAAUAAGCAUACGAUUCCUCCUUCUACUCUAAGAGUUUACAAUCCAGCUGAAAAGAAACAUUAGAAAGAUGUGCAACAGUUAAAUCACAAGAUAAAACAACACAAACACUGUCACCAGGCCAGACAAAACAAAUUCCAAACUUAUGGGAAUACACCAGUGAUUCCCCAAUGCCUUGAAAAGCAUUAAUCCCACAAAAUGGGCUCUAUUUAAUAAGCAAAUAAAUAAAGUUUCUGUGCUCA
rnacentral:lncRNA from 12 species